rnacentral:lncRNA from 1 species
AAAAGUUGCUUUCCAUAGAAUCAAUUAAUCGGGUUAUGCGAUUUUCUCUUUCUAGUCAAAUUCAUACCAAGUUUCUAACUAUCUUUUUUGUGACUUGUGAAUCUCUGAUGCUAUGUCUUGCUUUGAAUCUGUUGAUGAAAACAUCUGAACUUCUUCUAAAUAUUUCUGCAGAAAAUUUGUUACUCAAAUAAUUACAGGAUACCUUCCCAGUCUUAUUCUUCAGAUGUCUCUGAAGUUAGUGCCUCCUGUUAUGGGGUUUCUUUCCUCCAUUCAAGGAUACAUCUCACACAGUGAUAUAGAAAUGAGUGCAUCUAAAAAAGUAAUAUGGUUCACAGUAUGGAAUGUUUUUUUCGCAACCGUAUUUUCUGGCUCAAUUCUGCAUCAGCUCUAUGUCAUACUUGAUCUAAGGGAAAUUACUAGCAACCUAGCAGUGGCAGUCCCGGCACAGGUAAAACAAUGUCUAACAUUUACUCAUACUAUUUAUCAUUUUAGGCACUGCAUGAUAUUCAAGUCUAAAAAUGCAUACUAAAUUUGUGACCAAUUUAUAAUGGUACAAUAUUUUAUUUCCAAGUUUUUUUAAUGCAAUUCAUUUUGAUUUUACUGUAGGCAUCAUUUUUCAUUCCAUAUGUUGCCACAACAGGAUGGACAAACGUGUUGUCAGAACUAUUUCAGAUACUUCCUUUCAUUUCAAGUUUGAUAAAAAGGCCCUUCACAAAACAAGAGGAUGAAUUUGAAGCUCCAUCUCUUGCUUACCACAGAGAUGUUCCAAGAAUCCUUUUCUUUGGACUUCUUGGUAUUACAUAUUUCUUCUUAGCUCCGCUAAUUAUACCAUUCCUCUUGGUCUAUCUCUGUCUUGCAUACAUCAUUUAUCGAAACCAGGUCAGAUUUCUUUGUAUGCUUAUCUUAGAAUCAUUUUAUCCAUGAUAAUGUGAGACUCUCAUGGAUAAAUUGGUUGUUUCGGCUUGCACUGAUGCACUGCUUUUGUAUUACGCAGUUCAUAAACGUAUAUACACCAAAGUAUGAAACUGCAGGGAGAUUCUGGCCUAUUGUCCACGAUUCAAUGAUAUUUUCUCUAGUACUUAUGCAACUCAUUGCAGUGGGAAGUUUUGCAUUAAAAAAACUUUCUCCAGCUUCAACUUGGACUCUUCCUCUACCAGUAUUCACUCUUCUCUUUAAUUAUUACUGCCGAAGACGAUUCUUGCCUAUAUUUACUGCAUACUCAGCCGAGGUAAAGUUUCCAGCGACUCUGAUUGUCUUCAAAUAUAUUUUCCAGCACUCAUUCCUAACCUAAAAGAGACGACGAUAAAACUUUUAAAUAACUAUCUCCAAAAGAACGUUAAAUUGUUGCACCUCAACACUGAUUUGACUUGUGUUUGUAUUUUCAGAGUUUAGUAAAGAAGGAUAGGGAAGACGAAAAGGAUCCUGCCGCAAUGAAUGAAUUUUACAACCAAUUGUUAAUUGUAUAUAAAGAUCCUGCUUUGUUUCCAAUUCAUCACUCAUCAAGCACUGAUAGUCUUGUUAGCCCCCUUUUAUCUUAAGCUCAACACUAAGUAAUCACAUUAUUCUACCAUAUAAGCUCUCUCCUGUAUGUAAUGUAAGAUUGCUAUUUGAAGAAAAAAUGGAGUGAAGAAGCCAGAAGAUGUGCCAUUGUGUGCAGAAGACCAGAAGCCACAGAAGCUUCAAUGUUUCCAGUGUCUGUUGUUUUGAAAUUUACUUGUAAGUAGUCAACUUUUGGAUUUACUCUUAAAGUUAGAUCAACCAUGUAAUUUGUGUAUAUUUAUUAUGAGUUUCAUAAGUGAGAGUACAUUAAGCCAUAGAGAUUAGAGUGCUGAAUUGCCACGUUUAGUUAGAAUAUGCAACAACUAAGUCAUUAGUGCAGUGGGCUCUGGAUUGUUUGUAAUGGUAGAAACUACAAGUGGCAUGCAAUUUUGGUAUAGGAAAGCAUACGUGAUUAUUUUAUUGAUUGUGUGAUAUUGUAACUAGAAUUCAUUUAUAGUCACAGUUCACUUUUGCUACAAGCAAUCAUGUUAUUGAAUUGAAAAUUUGAAAUUAUAGUUAUAUGCAUCCAUGUAUUUAGCCAAAUAUAAAAUUAUUUAAAUUUUACUAUUAGAUUUUCUAAUACAAGAUAAACCACUAUCACAACUUCACAAGAUAAUGAAUACAAGAUGUAAUUACAUAAACAUAAUGCACUUAAGUUUGAUGCUUAGAGCCAAUGCCAUGUUAAUUAGAGUAGAAAAAGAGACUAAAGUAACCAAGAUGCCUUGAUAUCAAUCUUAGUAUGGGUUAUUAGUUCAUCAGGUUCUCUUCCUUAACGUUUUAUUGGUAGAAAUGAUCUAUGAUUAACAUUAGUCAUUAAUGUUGAUGAUAGUACAGUAAUCAAACCUAUAAGUACAAUUCAAAUAAGUUGGAUGGUUUUUAUCAAGGGACUCUAAUGAUAGUUUCAAAGACUAAACAGACAAAAUGAAGUAAGCCAAAAUAGAGAAUAUUGGGGACAAUCGGACUGCCCUUGUCACUUCUUUUGGUGUUUUAUCUGGAUAUGUUCUAAUUCUUUAAUAACAUCACGUUAAAUAACCAAUCUCACAAAGAAUAUCAUUCUUUCACACAACACAAAGGCUUAUUUGGUUUUUAUUUUAGAAAAUGUUCUUUUAUUUUAGUUUAUUGAUUUCAUUAUUAAUUGAAAAUCUAUCAUUUUUUCUUCUUCUCAUUUUCAUAUAUUUAUUUAUAAUAAAGAAAUAGAGAACCAAGUAGUUUGACUCGAAUAUUUAAUAAACUUCAGUUAACUCAUUGAUCGGGAGUACCGAUAUGCCAAUUUGGACUGAUACAUUCUUUAGUCACACAUUAGUUACCUACCGAUUGAAUCCUCCAAGAACGGGAGGGUAAUCUUGCAAAUCAAUGGAAACCAAAAGUAAAAUGGAAACACAACACCACUUGUGCAAUUAAAAGUGAAUAAAAAAACAAAAAAACAAAAUAUUUUUCAGACAACAAAACAAUAUCUUUCAUGUGUUUGAUUUAGAUUGGCCUAUGAGUGGGUCUCAUUGUAAAAGAAUAACAGUAAAUGUGCAUUCUUUUAUUAUGACUGAUAAGGGUGAUUUCUACAAGGUUUGUGACACUGACUACUGAUUUUCAUAUGCCGGAAACUAAUCUAAAUUUAAUAUUAUCCGAGGUAAAUCCAAGUAAAAAUAUGUUACAAGAACAAAGCUCCCAAUUAUUGACAGAUAGUUUUGGAGGAAUAUGGGUGUAGAAAUUGGACAAGAUCUUCCUGUCUUGGGUCGGUUCAUAUAUGACUUUGCUCUGACUUCAAUUGAGCCCCCACUAGUGGACAGCGAGAUUGGUUCAUUGAAUAAGUCGGUUCUUGAAUCGGAUACCAACUUUUCAAAAAAAUGUGGACAAGAUCUAUGAUCGGAAAUGGAUUGUGGUUUCCAAAAGUAACUACAAAUUGACAAUAAUCUGAUAGUUGAUGAUGAUGUGAUUUGUCAAAUUUAUAGUACUAGUCUUUCAAAUUGCACGAAUGACAAUGAUUCACCUGACUGUGAUCGCAGAGGAUUGCAACCUCAGGGCUCAGACAAUCUAGACACUUGUUUGGAUAAAUAACUAAACACUUAUAACAUAGUAAGUGCAUAUCAUAUAAGUGCUUAUUAUAAGCAGUUUUACAAAUAAAUUAUAAAUUGUUUUCAUAAACUAUCCUAAAUAAGCUUAAAACAGCUUAUGGACGUGUCAUAAGUUGUUUCCAUAACUCAAACUGUCUCACAAGUGCUUAUGUCAAUAGAUAAACUCAAAUAAGUCAGUCCAAACAGCUCUUAGGUGCAUAUGUGAUGCUUGUUCAAAAAAACAGGGAACACUUACCAUGUACCUGUAUUUAAGCAGUGCAUCAGUGCGACGAUAAUCUUAACCGUUGAAUGAAUUCAAUGACUAGGAUUGUAGUGCACAGUUAUGCAAGAGCAAGACAAUACAAAAAAGACAUUUCCUUCUCGAUAUCUCCACUAUAAUGAAAGAGAACUUAUGGACUGUUCUGAAGUUUGUUUACAAGGAAAAAAUAAAAUAGAGGAAAUCCGAAUCCAACACAGUAGAAAAGAGUAACUACAAGCACUUAGAUGCCCCUAAAUAUCUCACUCUCAACUGAAGAGCUUCUACUCACCAAUCAUAUAAAUUUGUAAGCUCCCCCUGGUGCUAUACACUAUACCAAAAGCAAAAAACCACACGUUUUGAACUGAAAAAUGAUGAAAAGGAGAAAAGUAAGAGAAUAUGAAGGAGAUGAAAAGAAUACUGAAGAAGGAAACACUGAAUGGAAACAGAUAAGAGAAGAGGCAGCAUCAGUAGCAGCUGCUCUACUUAGAGUUCGAAGAGCGAGAAAACGUUACAUUGGGGUGAGGCAAAGACCUUCAGGGAGAUGGGUGGCUGAGAUCAAAGACACCAUACAGAACAUAAGAUUGUGGUUGGGGACCUAUGACACUGGUGAAGAGGCUGCUAGAGCUUAUGAUGAGGCUGCACGUUUGCUUCGCGGUCCAAACACCCGCACAAAUUUCUUUCUUUGCCAAUCUUCUCAUUAUGUUCCCACUCUUCCUCCAAAGAUUGCCAAAAUCCUGCUUCAAAGAAUCAAAACCAGAAACACUGCCUCUUAUAUUCCUGCUAGUGCAGCUCCUUUUCCAAUUAACCAUUGCGAUGAGCAAGAAACCAAAGCAGAACCUGAACCCCACUUUUUUCACCAAAUAGAAGAAAACUUUCUAGAAAGUUAUGAUGGUGCUAGUUAUAGUUCUUCUGACAUAACUACUUUUCACUGUGGUAGUGGGACUAGUGAAGAAAAUUUUAACCAAGAGGGUAGCAGAGAGGAUUUCAGAUUGGAGUAUCAUUGUGCUAACAAUGUUGAUGAUGGUGAAAACAACCAGGUUUUUAAUGGAGAAUUUGAAGACUGCGAUGUUGGACUCACUGACUUCCAGUUUCUGGAUACUAUUGGGUCAUUAAGUCACUCUUACUCUUCGCCAUUUGAGAUAGCAGAGGAGAUGGUGGGGCCAAUGGUGGACGAGAAAUUUAAUGUGGAUGAUUCACUGUUACUUCGAGAAACUUUUAGAAUGAAGUAUGAACGUAAAUUCUCAGCUUGUCUUUACACCUUGAUUGGGGUGUCUGAGUGUUUGAGGCUACAAGUUGGACCAGAAAAUGGAAAUGAAUUCUAAUUUUUUUGAGGAUGGGUACUAUGAACUUUCCAUUACCAGAAUAACAAUAGCACAGAAAGGGGAAUAAAUGAAGAAGCAUAUCAAAUGGAAAGGUUUAGACUUACCAACAGGAAGAACAUAAUCUUCUUCCAUUCAUUUGGAGCUCUACUCAUGAAUUUUAUCCUACUAAGUCAGAAAAUAAAAUUGAAAUAGCAUAGAUCAUUCUUUAUUUAUAAAGGCUUGCAAGUUAGCCCAUAUUCUUAAAUUUCAAUAUAUAUAAAGCUAAUGUAGUAUCUCUACAAGCUCAUGAUCAUUAGUUUUCUAUCCUAUAAAUUUUUAAACCCUUCCUCUAGAUGUUACAAUGCCACUUUUCUGUAAUAUUUGGAAAUAACUCAAUAUUGCUUUUACCAAUCAAAAGAUCAUCACUAUUUUUGGCUAAAGAAAUGUGAAACAAUAUUUUGUAUUCUAUGAACUCCCUGAAAUUAAGCAUAUUCACGAGUAAAAAGUAAUGAACACAUACAAGACAAUGGGUCUUUUCCUGCCAAGCAAGAGAGUCCAAAUGUAUAUAAUAUUUGCCCAAUACCAUCAAAUAUUCAUUAGUGGAAAUAUCUAUAUAUAAAAGAACCUUUCAAGACUAAGGCAUGGCCAUGUUUGCUGAGGUUUAGAGCUUGUCAAUGUUCAAUCGGUUGAAAGGGAAGAACAUUAGAUCAGCUCAACUGUGUUUGAUCAACAGUUAUGCUAGGUACAGAUCGGUCUAUUCCAGUGGUACAUCAGUUUUCUUCUGGAUGGGAAGUACUGAACCGGUAGGGUACAGAAGCAAACAAUUCAAUUGCUGAUGAACUGGUUCAAUCUUAAUCAAAAUUUAUCAUGGAGAUAUUUGGAUACACAAUUUAAUUAAAUAUUCAUCUAAUAAACAUUUAUCAUGUAAGAACUUGUAUACACAGUUUCUAUAAUAAAAGAAGGGAUAUGGGCAAAUUAUGUAUAAGUUGUUUCUACAAGCUGUCUUAAAGAGCGGACGAACGAAAAUAAACUAAAUACAACUUAUAAAAGCAUAUCAUAAAAUAUUUUUAUAAAUUCUUCCAAACAAUUACAUGUAUGUUUGUUAUAUAAGGUAAGUCCAAAAUAUGAGCUCUUAAAAACACUCCGGAAAUACAAAAGUUUGCGACUGUAUUCCAUUCUUUGGUUUUUAAAUUGUAAAAAAACAAUUGGAUAAAGCAACCUUUGUUAGGUAUACUGUUUAAAAAAAGCACAACAAUGUUACGAUUUUUCAGUCUUUUAAAUAGACAAUAGACUUUGCUAUAUCAGCAUUCAAGUUCAUUCCUAAUGUAUAGUCAAACUUCGAAUAAAAAAUAAAAUGAGUUCAGGCAUAAAUUCAUUUCCGAUAUGAAAAAGAUGAUGUAAGAUACCAUCAUAAGACAGUUAAACCAUAAAAAUACCAAGGUCCUCUUCAUGUGCCAAUAUACAAACCAAAAUUAGAAUGCAAUAGCCAUGUCUGGCUUAUGGAAGAAGCCUCACCAGCGGUAUCAUUUAAGUAUAGUACUUGUAGUAGUGGAUCAACCAUUGUAGUAGAGAAAGGACACAUGCUUUCAUGCCUACAAGUAACACUUUGAUGUAACAUAAGCACAAUUCUUCCUGAGGAAAAUCAAUACUGAAACUCGGGAAAUUUAUAACACACUUAGUUAUGUAUAGAACAUAACCACAGAUCUUCAUAAGGAGAAUCAAUACUGCAACUAGGGGACGUAGAGUUGCCAUUCCCCACAUUUGUUGCGAAUUGGACGGGCAGGUCACCAAACCACACAAAAUAUGUUAUAACGUCAUCCAACCAAGUAGUGAAGAAAACAAAUUUUUUGGUUGUAAAACAAUACAAACAUACAAAACAUAGAAGAAACAUACAGAAAGAUCAUUAAGUGCAAAAGGCGAAAUCAGAAGGUGAAUCCAUUCCAAAUAAGCUACGUAUAAAUCUCUUUUAAUGCAAAUGAGCGCCUACUUUUUAAGAAUCCAAUUUGUGCACACUGAUCAAAGAUAAACUGAUUGGCAUUUAUGCUAAAGAAGAUAGAAAAAAAAAAUUUUAAACAUCACUGUUAGCACUUUUCUCUAGUAUGAGGAAUGAUAAAUACCACUAUAAGACCUCAUUGAAGCUUGUGGCAUGCCCUAGUAUUGGAAUUUGGAAGACCCUUAAACUUUUUACAAGAACCCAAAAAAGAUAAACUCUUAAACAUUGGGAGCUAAUUGUAACAACGGAGGCAGCUAGAAGUUAAUAAUACUAACCUCUAACACCUCUCUCAAUUAUUUCAGACUAUUUGUAAUCAGCAUGUUAGUAAUUAUAGAUCAGUUAAACAUAAAAUCUCCAGAGGUUACCCUACACAGCAUUAUGAAUUUAUGAUAGAAGCUUCAAAAGCACUGAAAGUAACUGUAAUAUAUUUCAUCAAGGAACAAUAAACGUGGGCUUUGAUUUGAAUUAAUUUCUUCCGUUUGUUUACAAAAGUACUACCUUUGCCACUGACAUAACAAGAAACUAAAAACAUCAAUUACCCUGAUUUUAAAUUUCUCUGUGUUUGUAAAGUAACUAAAAGAAGCAAUAUCCAUGUAUUGAGAGCUAUCUCAGCCCUCAUCAAGGCGAAAUCCAUUUAAAGCUAUCAACUCCAUAUAGCUUUCAUAUUCAAUGUUCUAAAGAAGUAUUGAUGGAAGGUUCCUCAUUGACAACACAAUUUUCUGGGAACAAUCUUUACCACUUCCACUUCAUCUUAUUAGUUCAAUUAUAUAAUCAAUAUCAUGCUGGAAAUGUCAUUGAAUGCCCAUUGUUUCAGCAGAAAUGGCCAUAGUUUCUAAAAUUGAGUUGCCAUCGCCAUUUGAGUUCUCCAUGCUAAAAGAUCUACAACUGAAAUAGAAAACCGCACUCAUCAUAGAAUCUAUAAGCACCACAAACGAAUACAUUAUUACCAAGAGCGGCCCUUCCCACAUUCUCGAAGAUCCAUCACCAUAACUCAGUGUCUUUACUCUGUGCUCAAACAACCCCUCCACAAAGGCCAUUCCUAUUGUCGAUCCAAGAUAUAUUAGCAAACCCACCUGAGUCUGACCCUUAAUUAAAAUACUCGACCUUAGCAUCGCCUGCGCUCCGGAAACAUCCUCCAGAACCGAGAUCACCAACGCAACACUGCAAAUGAUUAUCGCAUUGGCAAAUACAACAGAGAAAACUAACCCAACCAUCAAUGCAGCAUACACAACAACAUUAGGAGAAAAUCCAAGAACAGCCAAUGCACUACAAAACGCAACAAGGAAAACACAAAACAUAGUGAUGCAACCAACAAUAACUGUACAAGCCCACAUAUAUGUCGCAAGUAUCUUCCUCCAAAACUUAGCCACAAUCACACAAAACUUCGAACCAUCAAACUUCUUUCUCGAAUAAGUACAAUCAACAGAAUAAACCACAGCUGUUUUCGACAAUAACAACAAUGUAGCAUACAAAGGAAAACACAUCGCCGAAGCAAUAACCGUAUCCGCAAAUCUCUGACAAGAUUGCUUAAUCAUAGGUCUCAAAGGAAGACCACUAGUUUCAGCAACCAACAUAAGCCUAAUAGUAAGAUUCUUCACAAUAGAUUCAUCAACCAAUACAUUAGACAAAAGCACAGCAGAAACAGGACAAAUAAGCAAAAAGGCGAUUAUCAUAAAAGCCCAUGAAUUAAACCUAAGAAUCCUUAUAGUUUCUCUAAGAAUAUCCAAAGCAUUCAUUGAUUGAAUUUCAUGAUUAUGAUCAGAAAGUUCCAAUUCUAAUGCUUGACGUAAACGUGUUUCAUCUGAUCCAUCUUUUUUCAAAUGAUCUACCCUAAUCCUAGGAGAACAACCUCCACUUGAAAUCUCCAUGUUUGAACAACAAUAAAAAAACUAACCCAAAAUCAAAAAAUCGAUUUUUUCAUUGGAAAUUGAUGAUUAUUCCAAAUUUAACGGCAACCCAGGAUCUGAUAUAGAUUGAUUAACGUCACAAGACGUGAAUCACGAAAUGGGGUGUGUUCAAAAAAGAAAUUUUUUGUCGGCAAUGGAAAAAUUGAAGAAAAAAAAAGGGUAAAGAAUGAAGAAAGUGUGAAAAUUGAAGGAGAGUGAAACAUUGAAGACGAAGAAAGGAAUUUGUAGGAAGGGGCAAAUAAUUCAGAUUUGCAUUGUACAAUGUACAUCUACUGGAGCUGUCUACAGCUCAAGAAUAAUUUUCACUUUUUAUUUUUACACAUUCUUCAUAAAAUAGUAAUAACUUUAAAUUAAAUCGUCUAAGAAAAAAUCGUCAAAGAAAAAGUAAUAUCUAUAAAAUUGUAUUUUCUUUUCCUAUCAAAAUAUGAGUUAGUUAUUUUAAUAAUAACCAAAAAAAUAAUGAAUGAGAUUUUUUAAGCAAAAUGAUCUUAGUUCAUUUCAUCAACAAUAAGAAGUGAAACAUAAUGAAUGAUAGAGUAAAAAAUGUGUUGACUAUCUACCCAAAAAAAAAAAAAGUGUGGACUAGACUUUAAUAAGGACCCUCUAGCUAAAUUAGAGUUAUAUUUGCUUGUCUUUUAAUGAAAUCAAACUUGAAGUUAGAGUGAGUAUGUAAAAGUUAUCUACAUGGAUUCAAUAGAACUCCUCACUCAUUAUGAUAUUACUUUGAACUUGACCUAACAUUAACAUUUUUUAUUUAUUUAGAGUGGACUUGAAGAUGAUGGUCAGAGUUAAUUAAAUAUUAAGCGUGCGAUUGUUGAUCUAUAGAGGGGGUGAUGCAUCUUUAAGGUCUCCGAUGUUCAAGUUGAUGAGGAUUUUAGAAGAACUUAGAGGUUUAACUAGAGUAAACAGAGUACCUUUCACCAAGGGGCAUUGUAAUUUUAUAGGCGACGUGGUAUUGAGACUUGAAACAUUUAUUGCACCAUUUCAAUUGACAAUUCAUUUGAUUUAAGCGCAUAAGUUACUCAAACAAGUUUCAUCGGAUGUGCUAAUUUGUUUUUGUUGAUUAUUUUUAUUAUUAGAAUAGGAAUGUUAAAAAAUGUAAAUUUCUGACUACCAAACUUGAUCAAAAAAGAAUAAGAAUAUCUACAACAAUUAUCCAACAAUUUUCUUGACAAAUGCUUUUAAAAAGUAAGCGUCAAUGUAUUUAAUGUGUAGGCAGGGAUGCAAGAGAGGAUUGUAUUUUUUAUUUUUUUUAUUUUUUUAAGGAAAGAGAGGAUUGUUAGAAAGUUCAUAUAUUUCGUGGAAGUUAAUAGUGGCAAAAUGCACAAUGUCUUUGAAAACAUAAACGAAGAACAAUUUUUAAUGCGGAAAAUUAAAUGAUUUACGUGUAAAAUGUAUCUACAAAUGAACCAAUUGGAAAUUUAAGACUAAUAUUUUGCAACUGUGUCUAAUAUUUAACUAUCAUCUUUACUCAAAAAAAAAAAAAAAACACUAUCAUAUUUGUUGGUGUAUAGCUUCCCCACACCAAGUUCAAAUUCUUGAGAUUUUCUGCCGAAGUCAAAGGAAGAGGGAAAAUUGUAUUACUAUGAUGAAUGUAAAUUGAACUGACCGAGAAAGCAUCUUGCCCAUUUGUACUUACAACUUCAAGUCCAAAGUUUCACACAUUCAGUUAAAAAAAAAACAACUUAAAAUAACCUAAAUAUAAACCUGAACAACAUGGUGAUAUUAACCGAUAAAUUAAUUAAGGAAAAUGAUCGCAGAUGGCCUGGGACCCAUCAUAAACGAGUACGAAAGGUCAAAAUAAGUUACUGAGAAAAAGCAGAUGAAAUUUCGACCCACCAUCCUAUAGUUCUAAAAAGAGAAAUGAUAUUUGUAUAACCAUUUUGUACAAUUUUAUCUUUCAUACUUAUAUGAUGUCUUUUUUUUUUUUUUCUCUCUCUCCAUUGUUUUUGAUCAAUAAGAAAAGAGAAAAACAAGGUUGUCACUAAAGUUGUUAUGAAAUGUAUGUACAAAUAUCACUACUCUUCUAAAAAAUAUUGCACCGGCAACGACCCACUAUAAAUUAUAAUAUCCGACAGCCCCACAUUAAUCAACUUUUUGAAUAAUAUCUCAUAUAUAUAUAUUUUAUAUAUAUAUAUAUAUAUAUAUAUAUAUAUAUAUAUAUAUAUAAUUGCUAGAACAACCCAAUAUUUGACUCUUUCUUUUGAACAUAUUUGACUCUUUCUUUUGAACAUAUACUUUAAUGAUUAGUUAUUAUUAUUUUAUUACUAUGAUGAGUUGGACAUGUGAAUUAAUUCAAUAUUUUUUUUUAAAGGAAUGUGAAUUCAAGACUUGUCAUGUACACAAAAGGCAUUCUACCUCAAAAAAAAAAUGUACACAAAAGGCAUUUAUAUAGAUCCAUUCCACUUCAGUUUCACUUGCAUUAAUCUCUUCUUCAUUUAGCUUAAUAACCCUAGCUUAUACCAUGGCUCCAAAUAUGUGGAAUGUUCUAUCAGAAUCUAAAAGCAUAGUAAAUUCUCAACCUCAUCACUACCUCACUCUCUCCCUCAUCUUCCUCCUACCUCUCUCUUUCUUAUCCCUCCUCUUCCAAUUCAUUUCCAAAAACUUUCAACAGCAACUCUCCACAAACCCCACCACAAUCAUCUCCUUGUAUCUCCUCUUCAUCAUUCUCUCUUGCAUCAUCGCCUUUGGCGCCGUCAUCACCAUCACCUACAGCGUCUUCCACGCUUGCUUUAACCGACCAGUCAAACUCAAAGAAGCCCUCAAAUCCAUCAUCACUUCCUUCUUCCCCCUCCUCGCCACCGCAACAGUUGCAUUCGUCGUCUUCUUCUUCAUAUUUUUUCUAUUUGGACUUCUCAUUGGACUUGUAUUGUUUCUCAUCACUUACCUAGGCCAUGUCGACCUCAAAACUAACCCUAACUUGGUUGCGUUAUGUUUCAUGGUACUUUUCAUGAUUGUUUUACUCCCUCUUGUGACGUAUUUGCUAGUUAACUUGAGCUUUAUGAAAAUUAUUGUGGUGGUGGAAUCAAGUUGGGGUUUUGAACCAUUGAGGAGAAGUUGGAAAUUGGUGAAAGGAAUGAAAAGGUUGGUUUUGUCAACCAUUUUAUUGUUUGGAUUCUUGGAAGUGAUAUUGCUGAAGAUAAGUUGUUACAGUUUGGUACUAGUUUUAGUGAUUUCUCCUAUACUUGCAAUUCUUAUGCUUUACAAUAUUGUGGUUAAUACGGUGCUGUACAUACACUGCAAGGAGAAGCAUGGUGAAGUUGCAGAUGUGGAAUUUGGGAACGAAAAAGAUGGGGCUAACUUGUCCUUAAUUCCAGUAUAGAAAUGGUUGAUAAAGUUCCUCGUCUAAGUUGUCUUUGCUUUUAGUUUUUUAUCUUGUACUAAUGUCUUUAACUUUGUGAUUAAUUUAAUGUUUGGUUUGUUCAAGUCUUCUCCUUUGUGAUUAAUUAAUUAUGUGGUUGUUCAAUUUUCUUUCUUUUUCAAACCAAGGUAUAUCCUUUGUAAUAACUGAGUUGUAUACAAAGAUCCUUUAAAAAAAUAAAAAUACAAAGAUAAAUUAUACAUUAGAAAUUGUGUGAAUUUUUUUUCUUCAAAAUUUUGAUAAUUAUUUGUUGCCAAUAAAUUAUUAAUAGAAUUUUUAACAUGUGAUUUAUACAUGAUACCGGUUAAAAUAUUGAACUUUUCCGACUCGGUAUUAUUUAAUACACUUGUUGUUAGAGAAUACAAUUAGACACUUAAAUAAAUAAUAGGUUAUUAUCCAUUAUCAUUGUUAUAUAUAGGGUGUGUUUGGUUUGCAAAACAAUAAUUAUUGGAUAGAACAGUACAACAUAAGGUAGAACAGCACAAGACAAAUUUUGUUGAAGCAUUAAGGUGAUGUUGGAAAAUAAAUUGGAAGAUUAAACAUAAUAGUAAUUAUACUUUGAUCUAAUGUGUGAAUUGAAAAAAUAGAGUGUGGAGGUCCCACGUAAAAUAGAACUCACACAUUAGUAGUGUUUAAAUUGUGAUAUUUAAUUUUAAAUACUUGAUAAUUAUAAAAAUAAUAGUAAUUAUUAUUUUUAUUCGAGAAUAUCACUUCCCAUAAAUUUAGCUUAUGGUGGUUGUGAUAAGAAUAAGAAUUUAAUUGAAUUUUUUAUAUUUUCUUCAUUCAAUCCAACAGUUUGUUUCCUCCACUUUUGUGGAUUUGUUUCAGUUGAUCCUAUCCACAAGUGUUGUUGAACUGAUUAAUGGAUAAACUUCAUUUUAAUCUUAUCGAUUAGAGUAACUGUUGUCGCAAUUUAUGCUAAAACAGUUACAGAAUCUCUAUAAAUAGAAGACUCCACUCAGUUCAAAAAACACACCAAAAAGUUUCAUUGAGUUGACGAGUCUUUCAUCUCUCCAUCUCCUUUUUUCUGUCCCUUCGAAAUUAAGAGUGUUCUUAAACCAUAGUCCCUUUUCGGUUUAAUGUCCCUUUGGAAUUAAGAAUGGUCUUAAAAACAUAGUCCCUUCGAUAAUAUAAGUCCCUUCGGAAUAAAGAGUACUAUUAAGAUCAUAGUCCCUUUUGGAAUAAUAAUGUCCCGUCGGAAUUAAAUCUUAACAGUAUAUAAAUAUUCUUCCAAUAUUUUAAUUGAGGAGAAAUUAAAAAAUGGAAAUGGUGGUAUCACCAUAUUUGAGUGGUCGUAGUGCCAUAUUGAUACUUUGGAGAAAUUAAAGUUAGAAUGGUGGUAACACCAUAUUUGAGUGGUCUCAGCACCAUAAUAGAGCGGUAACAAUACCAUAUCCGAAGGUGUAAAUCUCGAAUGGUUUUCUACACUGCAGUAGUUAACCGCACAAUUGUAACUGAGCUUGUUUUAUCCUGGAGGCGGCGUGGUUGAUAGUUGCCUUGCACAAUUUUGGACAGUGCCAUGAAAUGUCUUAAAAAGAGUGAUCUGGUCGUGACUCAACCUAGUAACAACUUCGGUUGAUAAUAGAAUUUGGAAAUCCAAAUACAACAGUUUGGAAAUCCAAAAACAACAAUUUUAAGACGUUUCGAUCUGACUAUAUUAAUUUCAAAUUUUCUAACUUCAUGAUUUUUAAUUUCUUUCUUCUGUAACUUUUCGUUUUUGGUUCUGGUCCCUGUAAUAUAGUCAGGGAUCUUCUAGAAGGCCACCUAAAUUUCAUAUUUAGGUGUUUUUAAUUUCGUCCCUCUGUACCUUUUCGUUUUUGGUUUUGGUCCCUGUAAUAUAGUCAGGGAUCAUCUGUCAGUCCACAUAAGCGUGUUUAGCCAAGUCAGCACGUGUCACAUUACUCAUGUUGUUAGCCAACAAGGCGUUUUUGUAACAGAGUUUGACAGGAGGGACGAAAAGCAAAAAGUUAUUAACUUACAGGGGUUAUUUUAGAACAAAAAAAGAUACAGGGACGAAAACCAAAAACACGCCAAAUUACACGGACGAUUUACAUAUUUAAGCCCUUUUUAAUUUAAUUAUUAUAGCAUAUGAUUUCAGCAGCCUCUUAAAAAAAAAAGCAUAUGAUUUCAGCAAAAAAAAAAAAAAUUAGUAUAUGAUUUUGCUCCCACUUAACAAUAUUUAUGGAUUCGUCCCUGGUUUGAUCCACUUGUUAAAUGGCAUGAACAUAAACCUCGAAUUGUGAAUUAGAUUAGGCACUAGAUUGACCAAACAAGGACAUAAAGAGGAUUCAGAAAAUUCUAAUCGUCAUCAUUUUGUUUUUGAUUAUCUUUUAUUUUCAAUUGCAAACCAAACCCUGAAAAUACCUUAAUUUAUAGUUUUUAUUAAGUAUUGUUGCUUAAAUUGUCGAGUAGAAAACAACGAUACAUUUUUUUUUGAAGGAAGAAAACAACGAUACAUAUGAAGACGAUUGACUUACUACUUUAUAAUUUAUACGAUUUGAUACACUUACCGAAUUUAUCAUCAUAUUGUGAGAUGCUGUAUAAUUGCAAAAACAUUAAAAUUUAUGUUGACCCUCUCAUUUCCCUCUAGUCUCCUUUUGCGUGUGAAAAUCCCUUUAAGAAACUUGGCAUAUCUUAGAAGCAACUUGAUCACUUCAAAGAGAGGAAUAUUUUUUUUUUUUUUUGAACAAUCAAAGAGAGGAAUAUUCAAUUCAACCUUUCUAAAUAUAUCAAAGAUUUCCCUAUCCAUAUACGAUAUAUGCAUGCAUGAUUCAUUUUCCCUUACAUAACUUCCAGACCCCACUACUUGAAAAAUGAGCAUACAAGCAAUCGCGACAGAUCAUAUCACAAAUGUGAAAACUACACCUGCUGCUCGUUAAGAACCUUAUCAAGCACGAGUUUACAACUACUCUAGUAAAAAACCGUAUAAAAAAACUUAAUAGUGAUGAAGCGAAAAAGAGUACAGGACAAUACAAUGAAAAAAACAUAAAAAAUAAGCCCAUAAAAAACGAGGGCAAAAACCAAAUUCUAACAAAAUUAAGCAAUACGCAAAAAGAACCAAUAGAAAGAGCUAAACAACAUAAAAUUACACUACUUGAAUAUCUAAAAAUAUUACCAAAAGUAGCAUGACCACGACUAUUUAUUUUUAUUUUUUUAAAACAAAGACCACAACUAUAUUUUUAUUUUAAUAAAAAAACCAGGACUAUUAUUACUUAGCUUACGUAGUUGAUAUAAAAUAAUGGUUUUCUUUCUUUCAAAAAUAAAAUAAAAUAAUGGAUUUGUCUAACGUAUUGCAAUGUUAAAACAACUAAAAUAGUAACUUUUAAUUGAAAAAUAAUCAUUUAUUAAAAAGUUAUUAUAUUCAUUAAUAUAAAAUCUAUAAGUUCUAAUAAAAAUUUAUUAUUUUAAAUUUUUUAACGCAUGUAAAUUUGCACAUAGAAAAUCCUAAUAUAAAAAGAGAGAGGGAGAGAGAAAGAAAGUGGGUUGUUAUGCAUGUGAUUUCGAUGAAAUUGCUUUCUUUUUUCUCAGAGGACGAUGCAAUAUUCUACUUCUACCUACAAUUUAAGUUGAUUAUUUCUAUUACUUUUCAAUACUUUUUUUUGACCAAAUCUUUAAUACUUGUCACCAGGGAUAUUAUAUCUUAUAAAAACCGAAGUAUACAUGGUGAAAAAGUUCACAAAAGCCUAGUCUCUCUUACACCAUGGCUCCAAAAAUGUGGGAUCUUCUCUCUGAAUCUAAACGCAUAAUAAAUUCUCAACCUCGUCACUACCUUAAUCUCUACCUCAUCUUCCUCCUUCCCCUCUCUUUCCUCUCCCAAAUCUUCAAACACCUUCAACAGCAACCACCCAGAAACCACAGCACAAUCACCUUUUUAUCUAUCAUCUUCUUACUUAUCUCUUCCAUCUUCAGUUAUGGCGCCGUCAUCACCAUCACCUACAGCGUCUUCCACGCCUUCUUUGAUCGACCGGUCAAACUAAAAGAAGCCAUCAAAUCCAUCACCACUUCUUUCUUCCCCCUCUUCGCCACCAGCAUCAUCACUUAUACUCUCUACUUUUUUGUUUCUUUUUUCUUGACGUUUCUCAUUGGAAUUGUAUUGUUUCUCAUCGUUUAUCUAGGCAAUAUCGACC